UUGCUGUAGUAUUUUGACUAUACAAAGGUAUUGAAAUAAGACUUUUAUUGAGUGCUAAGAGAGUGGAAUUACAGGAAAAAUCUUUUUUAAACCUAAAAAUUAAAGUUAUUUUUACUUGUGAAGAAACAGUAAUAAGAAUUAAGGACAAGAAGACCCUAAGAAUUUUUUGAAAUGUGUUUCAAUAUGGAAAAUUCAUUUCUUUAAUUGGGGCGAUUAAUUAAUAUUAAAAACUUUUUUGCAAAAAAAGGAACCGCUUACUAGCGGUAAUUUGGUCAAAAUACUCUAGGGAUAACAGCGUAAUAAUUUUAGAUAGUUCAUAUUGACAAAAUAGUUUGCGACCUCGAUGUUGGAUUAGGAUAUUUUUUUAAUGAAGAAGUUAAAAAAAAGAGUUUGUUCAACUUUUAAUUUCC
rnacentral:rRNA from 1 species